rnacentral:rRNA from 1 species
CUUGACAUAUAUAAGAGGUCCAGCCUGCCCAGUGACUAAGUUCAACGGCCGCGGUAUCCUAACCGUGCGAAGGUAGCGUAAUCACUUGUUCUUUAAAUGAGGACUAGUAUGAAUGGCACCACGAGGGUUAUACUGUCUCCUUUUUUUAAUCAAUGAAACUGAUCUCCCCGUGAAGAAGCAGGGAUAAAUUUAUAAGACGAGAAGACCCUAUGGAGCUUUAAACAAUUAUAGCACUGGCCCACACCUCUUAUUCUUCUGAGAUAUAAUUAUCAUACAGGCCAACAUGACUAUUAGUUUUAGGUUGGGGUGACCGCGGAGCAAAAAUUAACCUCCACGUUGAACGGAGCUACUCCUGAGCUAAAAACUACAACUUUAAGCACCAAUAAACUGACAACAAUUGACCCAAUAUAUUGAACAACGAAC